rnacentral:rRNA from 1 species
UACGUAGGGGGCAAGCGUUGUCCGGAUUUAUUGGGCGUAAAGCGCUCGCAGGCGGCUCGAUGCGCUGUGCGUGAAAACACCCCCGGCUCAACUGGGGAGGGUCGUGCGAUACGGUCGGCGUUGAGGCCAGUGAGGGGGAUGGCGAAUUCCGGGUGGUAGUGGUGGAAUGCGUAGAGAUCCGGAGGAACACCAGCGGCGAAGGCGGCAUCCUGGACUGGUACUGACGCUCAGGAGCGAAAGCGUGGGGAGCGAUCCGG